GACGAACGCUGGCGGCGUGCUUAACACAUGCAAGUCGAACGGAAAGGCCCUGCUUUUGUGGGGUGCUCGAGUGGCGAACGGGUGAGUAACACGUGAGUAACCUGCCCUUGACUUUGGGAUAACUUCAGGAAACUGGGGCUAAUACCGGAUAGGAGCUCCUGCUGCAUGGGGGGGGUUGGAAAGUUUCGGCGGUUGGGGAUGGACUCGCGGCUUAUCAGCUUGUUGGUGGGGUAGUGGCUUACCAAGGCUUUGACGGGUAGCCGGCCUGAGAGGGUGACCGGCCACAUUGGGACUGAGAUACGGACCAGACGCCUACGGGAGGCAGCAGUGGGGAAUAUUGCACAAUGGGCGGAAGCCUGAUGCAGCAACGCCGCGUGCGGGAUGACGGCCUUCGGGUUGUAAACCGCUUUCGCCUGUGACGAAGCGUGAGUGACGGUAAUGGGUAAAGAAGCACCGGCUAACUACGUG
rnacentral:rRNA from 1 species